CGCACGGGUGCGUAACGCGUAUGCAACCUACCAUCAACAGGGGGAUAACACUGAGAAAUUGGUACUAAUACCCCAUAAUAUCUCAUGCGGCAUCGCAUGGGGUUGAAAACUCCGGUGGUUGAUGAUGGGCAUGCGUUGUAUUAGCUGGUUGGUGAGGUAACGGCUCACCAAGGCGACGAUACAGUAGGGGGACUGAGAGGUUAACCCCCCACAUUGGUACUGAGACACGGACCAAACUCCUACGGAAGGCAGCAG
rnacentral:rRNA from 1 species